rnacentral:rRNA from 1 species
AACGAACGCUGGCGGCAUGCCUAACACAUGCAAGUCGAACGCUACCUUCGGGUCUAGUGGCGCACGGGUUCGUAACGCGUCGGAACCUGCCCUUAGGUUCGGCAUAACUCCCCGCAAGGGGUGCUAAUACCGGAUAAUGUCUUCGGACCAAAGAUUUAUCGCCUUUGGAUGGGCCCGCGUUGGAUUAGCUAGUUGGUAGGGUACAAGCCUACCAAGGUGACGUUCCAUAGCUGGUCUGAGAAGAUGAUCCACCACACUGGGACUGGGACCCGGCCCAGACUUCUAGGGGAGGCAGCAGGGGGGAAUAUUGGACAAUGGGCGAAAGCCUGAUCCAGCAAUGCCGUGUGAGUGAGGAAGGCCUUAGGGUUGUAAAGCUCUUUUACCCGGGAUGAUAAUGACAGUACCGUGAGAAUAAGCUCCGGCUAACUCCGUG